rnacentral:rRNA from 1 species
GACGAACGCUGGCGGCAUGCCUAAUACAUGCAAGUCGAGCGAACAGAUGAAGUGCUUGCACUUCUGACGUUAGCGGCGAACGGGUGAGUAACACGUAAGGAAUCUACCUAUAAGCGGGGGAUAACAUUCGGAAACGGGUGCUAAUACCGCAUAAUAUCUUCUUCCGCAUGGAAGAAGAUUGAAAGACGGCUCUGCUGUCACUUAUAGAUGACCUUGCGGUGCAUUAGUUAGUUGGUGGGGUAAUGGCCUACCAAGACGAUGAUGCAUAGCCGAACUGAGAGGGUGAUCGGCCACAUUGGGACUGAGACACGGCCCAAACUCCUACGGGAGGCAGCAGUAGGGAAUCUUCCGCAAUGGGCGAAAGCCUGACGGAGCAAUGCCGCGUGAGUGAAGAAGGCCUUCGGGUCGUAAAACUCUGUUAUAAGAGAAGAACAAAUUGUAGAGUAACUGCUACAGUCUUGACGGUAUCUUAUCAGAAAGCCACGGCUAACUACGUGCCAGCCGCCGCUGUAA